rnacentral:rRNA from 1 species
AUUGAACGCUGGCGGCAUGCCUUACACAUGCAAGUCGAACGGGGGUAGCAAUACCCUAGUGGCGAACGGGUGAGUAAAGCAUCGGAACGUACCCAGUCGUGGGGGAUAACGUAGCGAAAGUUACGCUAAUACCGCAUACGUCCUGAGGGAGAAAGCGGGGGAUCGCAAGAACUCGCGCGAUUGGAGCGGCCGAUGUCGGAUUAGCUAGGUGGUAGGGUAAAAGCCUACCAAGGGGACGAUCCGUAGCUGGUCUGAGAGGACGACCAGCCACACUGGUACUGAGACACGACCCAGACUCCGACGGGAGGCAGCAGUGGGGAAUUUUGGACAAUGGGGGAAACCCUGAUCCAGCCAUGCCGCGUGAGUGAAGAAGGCCUUCGGGUUGUAAAGCUCUUUCAGACGGAAAGAAAUUGCGCAGGUAAAUAAUCUGUGUAGAUGACGGUACCGUAAGAAGAAGCACCGGCUAACUACGUGCCAGCCGCCGCGGUAA